GACAGAGGGUGCGAACGUUGCUCGGAAUGACUGGGCGUAAAGCGCGUGCAGGCGGCUCUGCAAGUCCGAUGUGAAAGCCCAGGGCUCAACCCUGGAAGUGCAUUGGAAACUACGGAGCUCGAGUCCUGGAGAGGAGAGCGGAAUUCCCGGUGUAGAGGUGAAAUUCGUAGAUAUCGGGAGGAACACCAGUGGCGAAGGCGGCUCUCUGGACAGGUACUGACGCUGAGACGCGAAAGCGUGGGUAGCAAACAGGAUUAGAUACCCUGGUAGUCCACGCCGUAAACGAUGAGAACUGGGUGUCGCGGGUAUUGACCCCCGCGGUGCCGAAGCUAACGCGUUAAGUUCUCCGCCUGGGAAGUACGGCCGCAAGGCUAAA
rnacentral:rRNA from 1 species